UGGCAUCGCUCAGCUCUCUAACCACUGCAGCAGCAGCAUCCUCUUGGUGACUGAAGUGGGUUUAUCUCCAUUGCAGAAGGAUGUCACAGUCACUCAGCUCCCGGUGCCUUCCGCCUUGUGAUGUGACAUGCCCCAAACCAUGUGUCAAUGCCUGGAACUGGCCAUGUGUUACAUCAUGCGGUGACUCGAGGGCAGUGGUCUACCCACCUCCAGUUGUUGUGAACUUCCCAGGACCGAUCCUCGCCUCCUGCCCUCAGGACAGCAUUGUGGGCACUGUGUUGCCAAGGUCAUCUGGUGGCAUAGGCCCAUUCCCCUAUGGGUCUGGUGGUGGCUAUGGGUCUGGUUCUAGCUAUGGGUCUGGUGGUGGCUAUGGGAUUGGUUCUGGCUCUGGGUAUGGUGGUAGCUAUGGGAUGGGUUCUGGAUAUGGGUCUGGUGGUAGCUAUGGGGUUAGUUCUGGAUAUGGUUCUGGGUAUGGGUCUGGUUUUGACUGUGGGUUUGGUUCUGGCUAUGGGUAUGGUGGUGGCUAUAGGUCUGGUAGUUCCUAUGGGUCUGUGUCAUCCCGAAGGUGCCGUCGGUACAGCUCUGCAAGCUGUGGGCCAUGCUAAACCCAGCAGGAACAUCUGCAGAACAAGGAACUCCCAGGCAAUGAAAAGCAAGAUACGGCAUCACAGCUGAGCUGGCGGGGCUGGCUCUCAGACUUGCUGAGCACCCACAACUCUCAGGGAUGACCGAAAAAGUCACGAUUGCUCAACCUGUCUGAAAUUCUGGCCCAUCUCCGUGUUUCCAUGUGUGCUUCACCUUUACUUAUUCUGGAUUGUUCUUAGGUGCUACCUAUUUAUAGCACAUAAUUGCAAGGUACUUUCUGCUGCUGGCCGUCAGCUUUGGGAAAAGAAACAACUUGACUUGUUUGAGACUGGGGCUUGAUGAUGUAGCAAAGAAAGUUCAAUGUCUUGUGCCAAGUGCAGUCCUGUUGAACAGGUGAUUGGAUGUGACCAUUCACGGAGUCCUAGAAAGCAGCUUUCUCCUUUGCAUUGUCUUGUUUUGCAAAUGUAUACUCAGCAUCUUGUUGCAUUAAAGUUCUGUUGCAUCACA